AGUGAACGCUGGCGGUAGGCCUAACACAUGCAAGUCGAACGGCAGCACAGUAAGAGCUUGCUCUUACGGGUGGCGAGUGGCGGACGGGUGAGGAAUACAUCGGAAUCUACUUUUUCGUGGGGGAUAACGUAGGGAAACUUACGCUAAUACCGCAUACGACCUACGGGUGAAAGCAGGGGAUCUUCGGACCUUGCGCGAUUGAAUGAGCCGAUGUCGGAUUAGCUAGUUGGCGGGGUAAAGGCCCACCAAGGCGACGAUCCGUAGCUGGUCUGAGAGGAUGAUCAGCCACACUGGAACUGAGACACGGUCCAGACUCCUACGGGAGGCAGCAGUGGGGAAUAUUGGACAAUGGGCGCAAGCCUGAUCCAGCCAUACCGCGUGGGUGAAGAAGGCCUUCGGGUUGUAAAGCCCUUUUGUUGGGAAUGAAAAGUAGCAGGUUAAUACCCCGCUGUUCUGACGGUACCCAAAGAAUAAGCACCGGCUAACUUCGUG
rnacentral:rRNA from 1 species